AGAGGUCUACCAGCUUCUUCAUCCUCCAUGCUGGGGUUCAAGGAGAGCACCAGAGGGGAACAGAACGCACAGCUGAUUAAAAAUAGCUGCUACGGACUAUUCCUUCCAUUCUUACUGGUUUAUGGUUUUGCCAAAAGAAGAAAAACAGCCUGGAUUUGACCCUGAAGGAAAACAGCAAGCGUUCCUUCCGCCUAUUGAUCCGAUUUCAUUUCCCCUCAAGUGAUCUCACUGAUUAAAUAUUUUGCUGCUCUC
ensembl:processed_transcript Gm16159 predicted gene 16159